rnacentral:sRNA from 1 species
AGCUGGUGUAUGGUGAGCCUCUUCGC